AUGCUGGCAGAAGUAGAAAGCCAAAAUCAGUACCCUACUAUCAGUAUAUCAAGGCUUUCACAGCUUUAUACCAUGAAGGGUGUGUUUGGAACCAUUAAAAUUCAUGGAUUUUCUCCAUCGGGUGUGUUUGGAACCAUUAAAAUUCAUGGAUUUUCUCCAUCACUAGUGACCAUAUACCUAAAUUGCUGCAGAGUUCCUGAUUUUUUUUUUCUGAUGUCUUGUCACCAGUGUUUUGGCAAUGUGUUUUUGUCUUAUUUUCAUUCAUGCCCAACUCUUUGGAGAUGUAUUGAGUUUCUUUAUAAUUUGAUUGAGAAUAAUAAAGCUAUUGUUAUAUUGAUCAAUUCCUCCAAAUGA